rnacentral:tRNA from 1 species
CAGGUUAUGCCUAUAGAGGUUACUAUUAUUUACAAUAAUUGUUUGGUUGUGCAAUUCAAUCUGAUCUGA